rnacentral:rRNA from 1 species
CGGGUGAGUAACACGUGGGCAAUCUGCCCUGCACUCUGGGACAAGCCCUGGAAACGGGGUCUAAUACCGGAUACUGACCGUCACGGGCAUCCGUGAGGGUCGAAAGCUCCGGCGGUGCAGGAUGAGCCCGCGGCCUAUCAGCUUGUUGGUGAGGUAACGGCUCACCAAGGCGACGACGGGUAGCCGGCCUGAGAGGGCGACCGGCCACACUGGGACUGAGACACGCUAAAAAUUUAUACGGGAGGCAGCAGUGGGGAAUAUUGCACAAUGGGCGAAAGCCUGAUGCAGCGACGCCGCGUGAGGGAUGACGGCCUUCGGGUUGUAAACCUCUUUCAGCAGGGAAGAAGCGAAAGUGACGGUACCUGCAGAAGAAGCGCCGGCUAACUACGUGCCAGCAGCCGCGGUAAUACGUAGGGCGCGAGCGUUGUCCGGAAUUAUUGGGCGUAAAGAGCUCGUAGGCGGCUUGUCGCGUCGGUUGUGAAAGCCCGGGGCUUAACCCCGGGUCUGCAGUCGAUACGGGCAGGCUAGAGUUCGGUAGGGGAGACCGGAAUUCCUGGUGUAGCGGUGAAAUGCGCAGAUAUCAGGAGGAACACCGGUGGCGAAGGCGGAUCUCUGAGCCGAUACUGACGCUGAGGAGCGAAAGCGUGGGGAGCGAACAGGAUUAGAUACCCUGGUAGUCCACGCCGUAAACGGUGGGCACUAGGUGUGGGCGACAUUCCACGUCGUCCGUGCCGCAGCUAACGCAUUAAGUGCCCCGCCUGGGGAGUACGGCCGCAAGAUUAAAACUCAAGGAUUUGACGGGGGCCCGCA